rnacentral:rRNA from 1 species
AGGACGAACGCUGGCGGCGUGCUUUACACAUGCAAGUCGAACGGAGUGUAGCGAUACACUCAGUGGCGGACGGGUGAGUAACGCGUGAGCAACCUGCCUUGUACAACGGGAUAACACAGAGAAAUUUGUGCUAAUACGGUAUAAGACCACAGUGGGGCAUCCCACAGGGGUAAAAGAAAAUCGGUACAAGAGGGGCUCGCGUCCCAUUAGCUAGUUGGCGGGUAACGGCCCACCAAGGCGACGAUGGGUAGCCGAUCUGAGAGGAUGACCGGCCACACUGGAACUGAGACACGGUCCAGACUCCUACGGGAGGCAACAGUGGGGAAUAUUGCGCAAUGGGCGAAAGCCUGACGCAGCAACGCCGCCGUGAGUGAGGAAGGCCUUCGGGUUGUAAAGCUCUGUCAUUUUGGACGAAACCUAAUUGUUAAAUAGGCAAUUAGAUGACGGUACAGAAGAAGGAAGCCCCGGCUAACUACGUGCCAGCCGCAGC